GCCAACGAUCAUACCACGUUGAAUACACCAGUUCCCGUAAGAUCACUGAAGUUAAGCAACGUCGGGCGUGGUCAGUACUUGGAUGGGUGACCGCCUGGGAAAACCACGUAUCGUUGGCUCAU
rnacentral:rRNA from 1 species